rnacentral:lncRNA from 1 species
GCUGCUCUGCAGAAAAGGGGUCUCCCUCCCCGUAAACAGUGCUCACCCUCCUUAGGAGGCCAGUGUAAUUUUAAAGAUUUUAUUUUUUUCCUUUUUCUCCCCAAAGCCCCCGGGUACAUAGUUGUAUAUUCUUCAUUGUGGGUGCUUCUAGUUGUAGCAUGUGGGAUGCUGCCUCAGCGUGGUUUGAUGAGCAGUGCCAUGACCGCGCCCAGGAUUCGAACCAACGAAACACUGGGCAGCCUGCAGCGGAGCGCGCGAACUUAACCACUCGGCCAGGGGGCCAGCCCCCGAGGCCAGUGUAAUUUUAGAGAGAAAAAAAUGAUUGGCCUCUGUAUUGAUAAAGUCUCUCCAUUGCAAGCAACUGAAGUUAACUUAAGCAAAAAAGGAAUUGAUUGUUUCAAGCGGCUGGGAAGGAUAUAAGCUAGUGAUUAAAGGAAGAACUGUAGGAACCAGGGCAUCCAUCGGGCUGGAACCAAGGAUUCAACCCGACCAGGACUGCCGCAUCCUUCCCCUCUCAUCCCUGAUUAUCUCCUCUGGGCAGGGAACACGGCUGCAGCAGCUUGGAAAACCCAGGAAGGGGGAGCUGCUUUCUCCCACUCUCAGUAUUCCUAUGCCUGGAAGGGCAGUGAUUGGCCGUCCUUAAAUCACAUGCACGCUCGUUGGGCCAAUUACCCUUGCCAGGGAGACGGGAGACUAUAAUUGAUCAGGCUGGGCCAUAGGUAAGCCUUCCCCUGAGGCACAAGCUUAGCCAGGUGAUUGACAGCAUCACCAGAAAAUAAUGAGUAGACAUGGAGAAAAAACAUUCUGGGAGCAGAGACAGCUCAUGCAAACAUUGGAAGAUUGGGCCUUCUUAGCAGCCUUCUACCUCCUGGCUCUCCAUCUGCUUCUCUAGGAAGGAGGAUGGAUGAGGACCCAUGGGAUGACAUCAGGCAACCUGACACCAGAUACAUCAGUGGGGUGGACCCCACAGGGCUAUGGCUGUCCCAGCUGCCACUGGCCUCUCCCCACCUGCCCUUGGGGUAAGGGCUCCGCAGUCAUUCUCAUUCCCUCUGUCUUCCCCAGUCCCCAGGCCAGGUGACCACAUUCUGCCUCAAUUCCACUGCUGCCACCCUGGACCAGUCCUCCAUCGCUAUUCAUCUGGAUGACUCCAGCCGCCUCCUAACUGGUCUCCCUGAUUCCUUCCUCUCUGGAUUCCUCCAGUCCAGAAUUAUUUUAUCAAGGCUGUCAUUCUCCUGUUUAAAUCUCAUCAAUGACUUCUUUAUAUCACUUGUCCAGCCACACUGGACACCCCCAGCUCUGCACAAAACAUCCUUCUCACCUUUAAGCAUGCCAUUCCUUCUGCCCAGGAUAGCCUCUCUCCCAGUCUCACUUAUCCUCCAGAUCUCCACCAACUGUCA